UUGAGUGCAGAAGAGGAAAGUGGAAUUCCAUGCGUAGCGGUGAAAUGCGCAGAGAUAUGGAGGAACACCAGUGGUGAAGGUGACUUUCUGGUCUGUAACUGACGAUGAUGUGCGAAAGCGUGGGGAUCAAACAGGAUUAGAUACACUGGUAGUUCACGCAGUAAUCGAUGAGUGCUAAGUGUUAGGGGGUAUUCGCCCUUUAGUGUUGCGCACUAACGCAUUAAACACUCCGCAUGGGGAGUACGACCGCAAGCAUGAAACUCAAAGGAAUUGAUGGGGACCCGCACAAGCGGUGGAGCAUCUGGUUUAAUUGGAAGCAAUGGGAAGAACCUUAUCAAAUCUUGACAUCCUUUGACAACUCUAGAGAUAGAGCCUUAACCUUCGGGGGCCAAAGUGACAGGUGGUUCAUGCUUGUCGUCAGCUCGUGUAGCGAGAUGUUGGGAUAAGUCACCCAUCGAGCGCAACCCUUAAAUUUAGUGUCCAGCAUUUAGUCGGGCACUAUAAGUUGAUAGCCGGUGACAAACCGGAGGAAGGUGGGGAUGAUCUCAAAUC
rnacentral:rRNA from 1 species